AGCUGAAUCAACUUUGUCUUCUCUCACCUUCCUCCUCAUGCUUUCCUCCAUUAAUGGUCUCUUGAAGGAGGAUAAAUUAAGGUUCUACCACAUACAUUCAACAAGAAUCAUUCACUCAAGCAUUCAUGAUAAUGAAAAGAAAGAGAUGAAGAAUUUCCGACGAAGCAGAGGUUUGCUCCGGUUAGAAGUUGUUUGUGGACAACGCGUCCAAGAUAAACGAAAAACUUUGAGAGUAAAGUGAGCAUUGGGGUGGGAGAAUGGGCUCGAGACUGCAUUGGAAAGUGAAGAUACAAUCAUGAGAAUGGGGCUUCAUGGAAGAUGAAAACAAAAUUUUCUAAGUGCAGAAUUUUCCAACUGCAAAAUUUUCCUCAUGACUUUUUGAUGAAUUUUUGAUAAUUUCAAUCCAUGAUAUUGAUGAUCAAUUUGGUGUAUCUUCUUCUUUGCAGCAAAGUGAGAAUUGGGGUGACAUAAUGGGCUCGAGAAGGCAUCGGAAAGUGAAGAUAAAGCCAUGGGAAUGAAGCUUCAUGGAAGGAAAAAUUAUUGGAACUUACAUCAUGUACUAUGUAACAUAACCAUGAAAUUCUUGAUUAUUGAUGAAGAAUGAUGAUUCUUUUGAUUAAAUGCUUAUAGGGUAGGUCUAGAAAAAUUUAGGGGUCAAACUCGAGUCGAUGAUCAAAAGUUGAUAAAAAAUCAACA